rnacentral:rRNA from 1 species
UACGUAGGGGGCUAGCGUUGUCCGGAAUCAUUGGGCGUAAAGCGCGCGUAGGCGGCCCGGUAAGUCCGCUGUAAAAGUCAAAGGCUCAACCUUUGAAUGUCAGUGGAUACUGCCGGGCUAGAGUCCGGAAGAGGCGAGUGGAAUUCCUGGUGUAGCGGUGGAAUGCGCAGAUAUCAGGAGGAACACCAACGGCGAAGGCAGCUCGCUGGGACGGUACUGACGCUAAGGCGCGAAAGCGUGGGAGCGAACGAGG